rnacentral:tRNA from 1 species
GGACCCAUAGCUCAAUUGGAUAGAGCGCCGGUCUACGGAACCGGAGGUUGGAGGUUCGAGUCCUCCUGGGUCCG